rnacentral:pre_miRNA from 1 species
UCCCUGAGACCCUAACUUGUGAUGUGCUUUUAUCAAAUCACACAGGUUGGUAUCUCAGGAAUU